UCGACGUGUCUUGGGCUCCUCUGGCGCCAAAAUGUCGCUCGUAGCGGGGGUUAUUCGGCGGCUGGACGAAACAGUGGUGAACCGCAUCGCGGCAGGGGAAGUUAUCCAGCGGCCGGCCAACGCCAUCAAGGAGAUGAUUGAGAACUGCUUAGAUGCAAAAGCCACCAGCAUCCAAGUGGUUGUUAAAGAGGGAGGCCUCAAGUUGAUUCAGAUCCAAGACAAUGGCACUGGGAUCCGGAAAGAAGAUCUGGAUAUUGUGUGUGAGAGGUUCACUACAAGUAAACUGCAGUCCUUUGAGGAUUUAGCUAGUAUUUCUACCUAUGGCUUUCGGGGUGAGGCUUUGGCCAGCAUCAGCCACGUGGCUCACGUUACUAUUACAACCAAAACAGCUGAUGCAAAGUGCGCAUACAGAGCAAGUUACUCAGAUGGAAAGCUGACAGCUCCUCCUAAACCAUGUGCAGGCAAUCAGGGGACCCAGAUUACGGUGGAAGAUCUCUUUUACAACAUAUCCACAAGGAGGAAAGCUUUAAAAAAUCCGAGUGAAGAGUAUGGGAAAAUUUUGGAAGUUGUUGGCAGGUAUUCAAUACACAAUUCAGGCAUUGGUUUCUCAGUUAAAAAACAAGGCGAGACAGUGGCUGACGUUAGAACACUGCCCAGUGCCACAACUGUAGACAAUAUUCGCUCCAUCUUUGGAAAUGCUGUUAGCCGAGAACUGAUAGAAGUCGGGUGUGAGGAUAAAACCCUAGCCUUCAAAAUGAAUGGCUUUAUAUCCAAUGCAAAUUACUCCGUGAAGAAGUGUAUCUUCUUACUCUUCAUCAACCAUCGUCUGGUAGAGUCAACUUCCUUAAGAAAAGCCAUUGAAACCGUGUAUGCAGCCUAUUUGCCCAAAAACACACACCCGUUCCUGUACCUCAGCAGAAUCUCACUGAACACCUCCCAUGUGCCAGCCGCUGUGUUGGUGAAACAAAGUUUGGAGAUCAGCCCCCAGAAUGUGGAUGUCAACGUGCACCCCACAAAGCACGAGGUUCACUUCCUACACGAGGACAGCAUCCUGGAGCGGGUGCAGCAGCACAUUGAGAGCAAGCUCCUGGGCUCCAACUCGUCCAGGAUGUACUUCACCCAGACUUUACUCCCAGGUCUUGCUGGCCCCUCCGGGGAGGUGGUUAAGUCCACAAUGGGUGUGCCCCCCUCAUCCACUUCUGGAAGCGGCGACAAGGUCUAUGCUCACCAGAUGGUCCGCACAGAUUCGCGGGAACAGAAGCUCGAUGCGUUUAUGCAGCCUGUGAGCAAGGCUCUGUCCGGUCAGCCUCAGGCCGUGGUCCCAGAAGAUGGGCCUGAGGCUUCCAGCGGCAGGGCCAGGCAGCAGGAUGAGGAAAUGCUCGAACUCCCGGAGCCUGCUGCAGUGGCUGCCACAAAUCAGGGCUUGGAGGGGGAUGCAACAGAGGGGACUUCACAAGCGUCGGAGAAGAGAGGGCCCCCUUCCAGCCCAGGUAACCCCAGAAAGAGGCCCCGGGAAAGCUCUGAUGUGGAAAUGGUGGAAGAUGAUUCCCGGAAGGAAAUGAUGGCAGCUUGUACUCCCCGGAGAAGGAUCAUCAACCUCACCAGUGUCCUGAGCCUCCAGGAAGAAAUUAAUGAGCGGGGACAUGAGACUCUCCGAGAGAUGCUGCACAACCACUCCUUCGUGGGCUGCGUGAAUCCUCAGUGGGCCUUGGCACAGCAUCAGACCAAGCUAUACCUUCUCAACACCACCAGACUUAGUGAAGAACUGUUCUACCAGAUACUCAUUUAUGAUUUUGCCAAUUUUGGUGUUCUGAGGCUGUCGGAGCCAGCGCCGCUCUUUGACCUGGCCAUGCUCGCCUUAGACAGUCCCGAGAGUGGCUGGACAGAGGAGGAUGGCCCCAAAGAAGGACUUGCUGAGUACAUUGUUGAGUUUCUAAAGAAGAAGGCUGAGAUGCUUGCAGACUAUUUCUCCUUGGAGAUCGAUGAGGAAGGGAACCUGAUUGGAUUACCCCUGCUGAUCGACAACUACGUGCCCCCUUUGGAGGGCCUGCCUCUCUUCAUUCUUCGACUAGCCACCGAGGUGAACUGGGAUGAAGAAAAGGAAUGUUUUGAAAGCCUCAGCAAAGAGUGUGCUAUGUUUUACUCCAUUCGGAAGCAGUAUGUAUGUGAGGAGUCGACCCUCUCAGGCCAGCAGAGUGACGCGCCCGGCUCCUCAGCAAACCCCUGGAAGUGGACUGUGGAACACAUCGUCUAUAAAGCCUUCCGCUCACACCUUCUGCCUCCUAAACGUUUCACGGAAGAUGGAAAUAUCCUACAGCUUGCCAACCUGCCCGAUCUAUACAAAGUCUUCGAGAGAUGUUAAGCACCGUCACUCUUGGACUCGGGGGUGUGCUGUUCCUGCACUGUGUCCUGAUGAGGAACAGAAGAAGAGAAUGAAUCCUCUCCCGGAGGGAGUGAAGGUGUGACCCAUGAGGCGCUGACACCCGCUGCAGCCCGGGAGAGGACGAUGCGGUCUCCAAGACAGAAACGAAUGCCCGCAGGGCAGCCACAGCGUCUCCAGCGGCCCGGGCCCUAGAACGAGUCUCCUGCGAGAAGCUCCGGCACCGAUCCAAGCCUCCCUUGGACCGGGGAGAAGAAAAUGUACCCUUCGCCCCACGGUGUGCGUAGGCUGAACGUGGAGCAAGGAGCCCUGUCGGUGCCUCAGUGGCCCUGCCAACCUUGACCCCGCUGCCCCCCGUCCGGGAGCCUCCAGUUUCCUGUACCUUCCCGCCUCCCGGGUUCCCUCCUGCUGCCACACCUCGGGUGUCCCGCUCUCCCACCGCUGACUGAAGUCCCCAGCAACCUCCGUCAUGACUCUCCUUAGGCAACUGUGACUUCUUCCCUGUCGCUUUGAUCUGCACUGUCUUUUCUAACACUGAUCAUGCCUCUGAACGCGGGCCCUGGCUCCGCCUCCCUCGGUCUAUCUGCGUCUUGCCGAGGGCUCUGUGCGUGUGCUUAAUAAACAUUUGCUGAAAGAAA